GUGCUGUAAGUCUGUUCUUUGAGUAGGCUAGUUGAUUUUGAGUUACGCAGUACAAUGAAUAUAGAGACGCGCAAGCAGCAUGGUGCGGCCGGCUUGACUACGCAUGCUUGGCUGCGCUACGCAUGAAAAAAAGCGUAAGCCGACUAGAAGCAGCUGCUCCUGCGGUGGACGAACAACGAAGCGUACUGCUCCCGCGCUCUAGACAAAUGUGCUGAGCGUUGUACAUGCCUUCUGCCGCAGACAAGCAAAUGGUGCUCUGACCCCGAACCCCUGUAUCGACCGGCGAGAGCUCUCAGGCAAGGGGUUACUGAUCCUUGCCUACUGUACAUGGAGAAGAAGUGGCCCGACUUUUCUGUCGGCCUCCGACCGCCAUAACGGUGGAAGGCAGCUGUCGAGCCUGCCAGGAUCCGCCAUCGCCUGGCAGACCCUGAUCCUCGCUUUCCUGUGAGACGAUAGCCCACUGGCCUCCAGCGAAGCAGAUGACAUAGGAGUGCUAUGCACACGGCCGUUGACAUGCCGUCUGACACACGGCGGUGUGUCAGCACUUUAUGGUCAAUUCUAUACCCCUCAGGGGGGGGGGGGGGGUUGUCGCUAACACUUCUUGGGUCGUUGCUGCAACUACCAGCCUUACCUUCUCUCCCCUUUGGAUGAACCCUAUAUAUACUGUGCCGAAUA